AUUGAACGCUGGCGGCAUGCCUUACACAUGCAAGUCGAACGGGCUUUGGGGCUUGCUCCAAAGUUAGUGGCGAACGGGUGAGUAAUAUAUCGGAACGUACCCUAGAGUGGGGGAUAACUAGUCGAAAGACUGGCUAAUACCGCAUACGAGCUAAGGUUGAAAGUGGGGGACCGCAAGGCCUAAUGCACAUGGAGCGGCCGAUAUCUGAUUAGCUAGUUGGUAGGGUAAAAGCCUACCAAGGCGACGAUCAGUAGCUGGUCUGAGAGGACGAUCAGCCACACUGGGACUGAGACACGGCCCAGACUCCUACGGGAGGCAGCAGUGGGGAAUUUUGGACAAUGGGGGAAACCCUGAUCCAGCAAUGCCGCGUGAGUGAAGAAGGCCUUCGGGUUGUAAAGCUCUUUUGUCAGGGAAGAAACGGUGGGGGCUAAUAUCCUCUGCUAAUGACGGUACCUGAAGAAUAAGCACCGGCUAACUACGUGCCAGCCGCCGCAGUAA
rnacentral:rRNA from 1 species